rnacentral:rRNA from 1 species
UACGGAGGUGGCAAGCGUUGCUCGGAAUCACUGGGCGUAAAGGGCGCGUAGGCGGGGAGGUAAGUCGGGUGUGAAAUCCCUCGGCCCAACCGAGGAACUGCGCCCGAGACUGCUUCUCUUGAGUCCCGGAGAGGAAGGUGGAAUUCCCGGUGUAGCGGUGAAAUGUGUAGAGAUCGGGAGGAACACCGGUGGCGAAGGCGGCCUUCUGGACGGUGACUGACGCUGAGACGCGAAAGCGUGGGGAGCGAACAGG